UGCCCUAACCCUCUGCCUGCGCUUUCGCCCUCGCCCUCUCUGUCGCCGUUGCCCCUUCUCUCUCAUCGUCUCUCUCUAUCUAUCUCGCCCCAUCAAUCCCUCCCCGCAAUUCUUCCAACCCUUUGGAUCAGAGUAUAUCAUCUCUUUCUCACCCUCUCCAACGCAGAAACAAUCACCAGCUCCUCUUCUUAAAAAAAAGGAUAACUUUUCCUUCCUUGGUUGGUUUUGAUUCUCGGUCCUGGUACCAAUCUAGUCUCUCCAGGGGCCCCUUGCUGGGUUUUCUCUGCUUGGAUGCCUUUUUAGCUGCAUCUGUUCUUUGGUUUCGGUUAAAUUGUGUUGGGUUGUUAAUUUUGGGGUUGAAGCUUCACGUUCCUUAAGGUAUACCAUAUGCUUCAAGAAAUACUCUGUAAGGAGAGCAAAUAGUAAGUAAGAGUUUUUAGGGUUUUCUCGACAAUUCGCACGGAAAAGCUCAACGGGCAGUCCCCGCCUACAUCGUAAACCGUCGACCUGGGAUCCAAUUUUGGUCGCAAAUAGUAAUUCGCAGAGGAAGCUGUUGUUGUUCAUAAACCUUAUUGUGUCGGAAUAGUGUUAGUUUCUUGAUUUGGGGAUGAGCGAUUCAGCGUGCAUUAAGAUCCGAAACAUUUGUAUUCUUGCCCAUGUUGAUCAUGGCAAGACGACCCUCGCUGAUCAUCUGAUUGCAGCAUGCGGUGGUGGGGUCCUCCACCCGAAGCUUGCUGGCCGGUUGAGGUAUAUGGACUACCUUGACGAGGAGCAGAGGCGGGCUAUCACGAUGAAAAGUUCUUCAAUUGCUCUCCAGUACAAGGACUACAAUAUAAAUCUUAUUGACUCCCCAGGUCACAUGGAUUUCUGCAGUGAAGUCUCCACAGCUGCACGUUUGAGCGAUGGGGCCUUAGUUUUAGUUGAUGCAGUCGAAGGGGUUCACAUCCAGACCCACGCUGUCCUGCGACAGGCUUGGGUGGAGAAGUUGACUCCUUGCUUGGUCUUGAACAAGAUUGAUAGGCUGAUAACUGAGCUAAAAUUAAGUCCAAUGGAAGCUUAUAACAGAUUGCAGAGAAUAGUUCAUGAAGUCAAUGCAAUUGUUAGCGCCUACAAGUCUGAAAAGUAUCUUUCCGAUGUUGACUCACUUCUUGCAGGGACAUCUGGAGAUGCAGAUCAAGAAUUGAUAGAGGUGGAGGAUGAUGAGGAGGAUAUGUUCCAACCACAAAAGGGGAACGUAGCAUUUGUUUGUGCAUUGGAUGGUUGGGGUUUCUGUCUAAGCCAUUUUGCAGAGAUUUAUGCUUCUAAGCUUGGAGCCAGUAUGACAGCUUUGGUAAAGGGGUUAUGGGGGCCUCGUUACUAUCACACAAAGAAAAUGAUGAUUGUAGGAAAAAAGGGUAUAGAAGGUGUUACUAAGGAUCCUCAGCCUAUGUUUGUGCAGUUUGUGCUUAAGCCUCUGUGGCAGGUCUAUCAGGCAGCUCUAGAGGCUGAUGGAGACAGAAGGAUGCUUGACAAGGUCAUCAGUACUUUCAAUUUGUCUGUCCCACAGAGGGAGCUCCAAAAUAAGGACCCGAAGAUUGUGCUCCAAGCUGUCAUGAGCCGGUGGCUUCCAUUAUCAGACACAAUCCUCUCGAUGGUGGUCAAGUGCAUGCCUGAUCCUAUCUCUGCACAAUCUGCUCGCAUUUCUCGGUUGCUUCCGAAGAGAGAGUUAGUGGUUGAUAGUCCCAGCUUUGGCUCUGAUGUGGUUGCUGAAGCAGAGUAUGUGAGGAAGUGUGUCGCGUCUUGUGACUCUAGUGUUGAUGCUCCAUGUGUAGCAUUUGUUUCCAAAAUGUUUGCUGUUCCAUUUAAGAUGCUACCACAAAGGGGCUUAAAUGGUGAAAUCCUGAACAAUCAGCCCACUGGUGAAGCUGGGGAAUCAGAUGAGUGCUUUCUUGCAUUUGCAAGAAUCUUUAGUGGGGUCCUCCAUUCUGGGCAAAAGGUCUUUGUGCUCUCGGCUGUGUAUGAUCCAUUAAAAAGUGAAUCCAUGCAAAGACAUGUGCAAGAAGCAGAGCUUCAAUCUUUAUAUUUAAUGAUGGGUCAAGGUCUUGUACCAGUAUCCUCAGCAAGUGCAGGUAAUGUGGUGGCAAUUCAAGGACUAGGUCAGUUUAUUUUGAAGAGUGCAACUCUCUCAUCUACCAGAAACUGUUGGCCCUUCUCUAGUAUGAUGUUUCAAGUGGCACCUACUCUUAGGGUAGCUAUUGAGCCUUCAAAUCCAGCUGAUAUUGGUGCACUUGUGAAGGGUCUAAGGCUUCUCAAUCGCGCAGACCCUUUCGUGGAAAUUACUGUUUCAUCCAGAGGUGAACAAGUGCUUGCAGCUGCAGGAGAGGUUCAUCUUGAAAGGUGCAUAAAGGACUUAAAAGAAAGAUUUGCCAAGGUUAGCUUGGAAGUUUCACCUCCCCUUGUCUCAUUCAAAGAGACCAUUGAAGGGGAAGGUAUCAACUUAUUAGAGAUUUCAAAGGCAUUCUCAUGUUCUACUGAAUAUGUUGAAAAAACUACACCAAAUGGUAGGUGCACCAUAAGAGUGCAAGUCAUGAAACUUCCUCGUACUUUAACAAAGGUUCUUGAGGAAUGUUCUGAUGUUUUGGAAGAUAUUUUUGAGGGGCAGUCUAGAAAGAAAGAUGGAAGUUUGGGGUCUCACAUUACUCAGGAUGAUUGUGAACUCGUUGAAGGAGUCAGAAAGCGCAUAGUUGAUGCUAUUGAAAGUGAAUUAGAAUUUGUUGCCAAGAAGAUCGAUAAAGAUAGAGUUGAAAGAUGCCGAAGAAUGUGGUUUGAAUUUCUUCAAAUGAUCUGGUCGCUCGGUCCUUCGCAGGUUGGGCCAAAUGUUCUUCUAGUUCCAGAUUCUGGAACAGGCAACGUUGACAGUUGCGGUCAAGGGCAAAGGGGUAUGCUCAUACGGGGUUCAUGUGAUGUUUCUAAAAGGUUAGGUUUUCUGAAUACUGAUAUACAGACCGGCAGUAGUCUUACCAGUCUUGAUGAAUUGGCAGAUGAAACUGAAUUAUUGUGUAUGGAAGCUGAAGCUCUUAAAAGCAGCAUUGUGUCUGGAUUUCAGUUAGCCACCGCUGCUGGGCCUUUAUGUGAUGAACCCAUGUGGGGUUUGGCAUUUCUUGUGGAACCUUACAUUUUCCGAGACACUUCUGAUGCUUCCAAUCAGUCUGACCAGUACGGUAUCCUCGGCGGGCAAGUUAUGACCACCGUUAAGGAAGCUUGUAGGGCAGCUGUGCUUCAAAACAAGCCAAGGCUUGUGGAAGCUAUGUACUUCUGUGAGUUGAAUACACCAACAGAAUAUUUGGGAGCCAUGUAUGGAGUUCUUGGAAAGAUGCGUGCAAGAGUAUUGAAAGAAGAGAUGCAGGAAGGCUCCUCCUUGUUUACUGUACAUGCCUAUGUACCUGUUGCGGAAAGCUUUGGGUUUGCAGAUGAGCUUAGGAAACGAACUUCAGGGGCUGCAAGUGCACUGCUUGUUCUUAGUCAUUGGGAGGAACUACCGGAAGACCCUUUUUUUGUUCCAAAGACAGAGGAGGAGAUCGAAGAAUUCGGAGAUGGUUCCAGUGUCCUUCCAAAUAUGGCAAGGAAACUUAUGAAUUCUGUGAGACGAAGGAAAGGCCUUCAUGUGGAGGAAAAAGUUGUUCAGCAUGCAACAAAACAGAGGACACUGGCCAGGAAGGUGUGAUCUGUCAUCUAGUGUAUCCACUGCAUAAUUUUGCAAUCAGAUAUUGCUUUUUGCUUGGAUUUUUUUUUUCAUUGCUUCUGCUAUAUUAAGAUGUUGGAAGCACAUGGGCUGGUUGUUGCUAAAGAUGUAAGUUGGAGUCAGAGUUGCAAAAACAAAGUCUAAAAAUACUACAGUUUGCAAAGAGGAAUGAUUCCAUUAGAACUUAGAACAUCAGAGUUCAUGAAUGAGUUUCAGCGACAGUUGAUGUUAAUAUAUCAGAGAACUACAGAGCUUGGUCAUCUUUUAUUCAAGAGAAAAAGGUUGACAUCUAGUAACUGGAGCUGGAAAGAACAUUAGAGAUUUGAACAAAAAUUGCAAGAGAGGAAGUCACUUGUAGUGAAAGGAAAUCGAUAAGUGGUCUUAUUGGUGACACGUUCAGUAGAAGUGAAGAAAUUACCAUCAGAAGCACUGCUGAAUUUGCUGUAAGGAGCUCCGCUUUUUUUAUUGUAGAACAAACAACACUCAGGGAUACUCUUCCUUUCAGUUCCAAACAAGAAGGUGAACGUGGACAGGGAUACUCUUCCUUUCACUAGACAUACUGAUAAUUGCAGAGGAAAAUCCACCCAGAGUAAGAUUAAGAAGUAUCCAUCUCCAUAACUUUUUGAAGCAUUGUUACUCCAUACUCUGAUUUGGAACGUGGAGGAGGUAGCAGAUCAAAUUUGCAAGAACGUUUGACAAUCAUCAUUGUUCCUCGAUUCUUAAUGGUUGUCACAUUGAUCAGCUGAUGGAUGAUUUGACUGAUUACUGGACUUAAGAUUUAUCUUGGCUAUUGCUAGAUUUAUCCUGUAUGAUUGUUUCUGGUGCCUGUAUUAUACAUGUUAUUUUAUAUACUUGUACUCUUUAACUUUGAUAUGAGAAAUAAAAUAAUUUCCAACUUUUAUAGAUAAA